GGUCCUCGAGCUGGAGGUCCGGGGAGCGGCUGCCUCUGGGGACCCGGAGACCGUCCGCGAGGGAGCCAGGGCGGACCAGCGCGACCCCGCAGGGUCCAGGUAGGACAGAGUGACUGUUGGCUUCUGGAAGGGUGCGCCUGCUGCUUCUCAGGGUUCGCCUUGCACUGUGGCCCCCUCAGGAGACCGCCUUGCCUGAGGAGUGAGAGAAAUGGGCAGUCUUUGAGUAUGCUCCAUCCAUGCCAGCCCAGGUGAGAAGACUGAGGCCCAGGGAAGAGUUUGCUUUUCUCAAAGUCACCAAGAAAGACAGCAAAGAAUCCCAGAGGACCCUGGGGCUGCCUAAGAUUCAUGGGACUUCAGCAAAAGAUGCCAUCUUCCCCAUGUUACUGCUCUGCAGUGUAAAGAAACACAGGCUUAAAAUUUCCCAGGUGCAAGAAACUUGAACCAGUCUCCCUUUUCUCUGCCUUCCAUAAUUCAGCCAAUCAACAUCUAUGGAGACCCUACUGUGUGCCCGGCACUACGACAGUUGCUGGUGAUGAGGCCCUUCCCUCAAGGUACUCAGAGAUGAAUAGGAGCGAGAGAGACUGCAUGAUUUGUGCAAAUCAACUUUUGUAAAUGAUUGUUUUUGAGAGGAAGAAAUUGCCUGAUUGGAGACAGAACAUGGACACAAGCUAAGAUCACAGUGACGGGCACUCAGCUCCCAGGAGGCCCCAAAUGGCAUUUGUGUGCAGGCUCCACAAGGCCUCAUAUGUUUUCCUGAGUCUGCUAAGGUUGAGAAGAGAAAGCCAGCCUGGCAAAGGCUUUGGAUCUUGGGGGACCAUAUCCCUUGGAGAUUCAAAGAAAAAGUUCAAUUGCUGCUGUGACUCUGGGGACAAUUAUGAGGUGACUCUGACCUAGAGGCUCCAGAAGGUUGCACAACAGGAUAUGAGGUCACUACUGGGAGUUUCUGAGUCUGAUGCUGUUUCAUCACUGGUUGCCUUGCUUCAGAUUUCAGAGACCAUGCAGGAACCUAGAGAUGGACCCAAAUCUCAUGAAGCACCUCCAAACCCCAGUUUCCUGCUCUCUGGGCAUAAAUAAUAAUGUUAACUUUCAACUACACAUUUUAGUGGGAAUAAUAUUUGGGGGGAAACAAAAUAAAGUGUUAAU